AUUAUGAUCUGAAAUUGCCACUUAAUGAAAUACUGUCUGCGCCACAGACUGAACAUGCUUUGACAGACAUGGAAAUCUCUAUUAUUAAAACAGUUCUACUAAGGACAGUUCAGCAUGAAAAGGAUGAAAUACACUGCACUGUAGCUAUCAUCAUUCCUCAUGAGACUGCUUUCCAAGAGAGCAACAUCUUUUCCCAUCACCAUGGUCAUGGAAGAGUCAAGAAGUGGUGCAACCUAAGUAUUCACACAUACAUCCUGAUGAUGCUGGUGGCACUUCCUUCAAGUUCAAAAUCUGGACUCAGUUUGGUUGACUUCCAGCAGAUAAAUUCCCACCCCCAGAGGAGAAGUGGAAAUUUCAUAGAAGAAUGAUUGAUUAUUGCCUGAGAGAUCUGAACUGUGUAAAUGAAUUAAAGAUGCACUUCUGCAAUCUUUUUCCGCUUCCUUCAACAGACGUUACAGGGAAGAUUCCUGGGAGAUUUGAAUGAAUCCUCUUGCUUGUAUGCCCUAGAUCUUGCUGCCUAGGAGAUGUACAACUAGCAUAUCUAAUAGGCGGAGUAUCUGAAUUGCAUCUAAAAAUAGGAACUCUGAAAUUCAAAGGAAGAAUCUUGAAAUAGCCUGAUUAACAAACAGAUUUUCAUAUCAGUUUUACCUGAGAAGAAGAGUUAAGAAUAUUCGGAGUCCCUUUUCAUCUUGACUGCAGUAAACCAUGGAAGUAAUCCCAGACAACAGAACAGGAAACGUAUCACAGAACCCUACUCAAAAACACAAUAUGAUUUUGAGACCAUUUUAUUGAAAUUAUUCAGAAGUAGAGCUUUUUCCAGCAUCAAAUCAGAAUGUUUUCCUGCUAGAAAUGGUUCUGCUACUGAUUUCACAUCUGCUACGUCAACAUGGAGGGGUAGAACUGCUGCUGCCUGCAUGCUAUAGUCAGCUACUCUCCCUGAAAACUCUCUUCACUCUUACUGGCUGAGUGAAUGAGUAACUGAUGAAUCUGUGUCUCUGGAUCACAGCCUGCACCCCGAUCAACCCUCCUAACUCAUCUUGUUGACUUCAGCCAUUUAACAGAAAGGCCGUAACCACAGUGCAACUGGAAUGUGGUUGCAGGUCUUGCUUUGAUUGUCUUCGAGCACAGAAUGUCCUGCUGUGCAUGCUCUUUUUCUCCUUCAUGUAACAGUAUCUGGCUAAUUAAUUGCACAGUAGGCUGUGAUACCCCUAGUGCUUCACAUAAUGAGUGGGGCUGAUUUUCUUUGACCAGUAAUGUCAUUAAGAAAUUCAUAUUUCAGGUUUGACAAGACACUUUUGGUAAGUUUUGUGUGCUUGGAAAAAAAAAAAAGAAAAAAAAAAGCCAUUGAAAUAGAAAAGCUAAAGGAAGAAUCUUUAAGCUUACCAACUUAGCGAUUCUGAGGUUGAAAAUUACAUUCUGAAGGAGCUUUAGUUCUAACUGCCUUCAAGGCCUCUUUAGCCAAAGACAGACAAUGAAACCCUAUGUGAGCUGUCAUCUGGGAAACUCAAAAGCAUAAUAGUGAGUUGGAUGCUAAGUGACAUAUUGGUAUAUGUUGGUGUGAUAGCUUAAGCUUCUUAUUUGACUAAUUUGAACUCAAAAUUUACUGUGCUGUUAUUUUUUAUUGUUUGUUUGUUUGGGGAGUGAAAGCCAAGGAUGAGUAUAGUGAAUUUACACUCUUUUGAACAUGGUGGAUGUUGGUUUUUCCAAUUAAUACUAAUAUUCAUAUUACACCAGUUCUAUUUCUUGCAUACAAAAUACAUUAAAAACCUUCCAGCUGUGUAUGAUAACAUUUACAUUCUCUUCAGAGAGGUGUAGGCGUGAAGGGAAAGAGUUGUUCUGGUUAUAAAAUUUGCUAUGCACGUCACUGUGUGUUUCAUAGAAUAAAAUUCCUUACACACAAUAGAAGAAAUAUUGA
rnacentral:lncRNA from 1 species